rnacentral:rRNA from 1 species
GAUGAACGCUAGCGGGAGGCCUAACACAUGCAAGCCGAGCGGUAUUUGUCCUUCGGGGCAGAGAGAGCGGCGUACGGGUGCGGAACACGUGUGCAACCUGCCUUUAUCUGGGGGUUAGCCUUUCGAAAGGAAGAUUAAUACCCAAUAAUAUAUCGAAUGGCAUCAUUCGAUAUUGAAAACUCCGGUGGAUAGAGAUGGGCACGCGCAAGAUUAGAUAGUUGGUGAGGUAACGGCUCACCAAGUCAGUGAUCUUUAGGUGGCCUGAGAGUGUGAGCCCCCAGAAUGGGACUGAGCCCAGGACCACAGUGCUACGGGAGGCAGCAGUGAGGAAUAUAGGACAAUGGGUGAGAGCCUGAUCCAGCCAUCCCGCGUGAAGGACUAAGGCCCUAUGGGUUGUAAACUUCUUUUAUACUGGGAUAAACCUACUUACGUGUAAGUAGCUGAAGGUACAGUAUGAAUAAGCACCGGCUAACUCCGUG